rnacentral:rRNA from 1 species
GAUGAACGCUGGCGGCGUGCCUAAUACAUGCAAGUCGAGCGAACAGACGAGGAGCUUGCUCCUCUGACGUUAGCGGCGGACGGGUGAGUAACACGUGGAUAACCUACCUAUAAGACUGGGAUAACUUCGGGAAACCGGAGCUAAUACCGGAUAAUAUAUUGAACCGCAUGGUUCAAUAGUGAAAGACGGUUUUGCUGUCACUUAUAGAUGGAUCCGCGCCGCAUUAGCUAGUUGGUAAGGUAACGGCUUACCAAGGCAGCGAUGCGUAGCCGACCUGAGAGGGUGAUCGGCCACACUGGAACUGAGACACGGUCCAGACUCCUACGGGAGGCAGCAGUAGGGAAUCUUCCGCAAUGGGCGAAAGCCUGACGGAGCAACGCCGCGUGAGUGAUGAAGGUCCUCGGAUCGUAAAACUCUGUUAUUAGGGAAGAACAAAUGUGUAAGUAACUAUGCACGUCUUGACGGUACCUAAUCAGAAAGCCACGGCUAACUACGUG